AUUGAACGCUGGCGGCAUGCCUUACACAUGCAAGUCGAACGGCAGCGGGGACUUCGGUCCGCCGGCGAGUGGCGAACGGGUGAGUAAUGUAUCGGAACGUACCAUUGAGUGGGGGAUAACGUAGCGAAAGUUACGCUAAUACCGCAUAUUCUCUCCGGAGGAAAGCAGGGGACCGCAAGGCCUUGCGCGCUUUGAGCGGCCGAUAUCAGAUUAGCUAGUUGGUGAGGUAAAGGCUCACCAAGGCGACGAUCUGUAGCGGGUCUGAGAGGAUGAUCCGCCACACUGGAACUGAGACACGGUCCAGACUCCUACGGGAGGCAGCAGUGGGGAAUUUUGGACAAUGGGGGCAACCCUGAUCCAGCCAUGCCGCGUGAGUGAAGAAGGCCUUCGGGUUGUAAAGCUCUUUCGGCCGGGAAAAAAUCGCAUGGGCUAAUAUCCUGUGUGGAUGAUGGUACCGGAAUAAGAAGCACCGGCUAACUACGUGCCAGCCGCCGCAGUAACAC
rnacentral:rRNA from 1 species